AUCUCCUUGAUAGGGAGAAUCAUAGGGGUUCAAACCCCCUCACUUCCU
rnacentral:tRNA from 1 species